GACAGAGGUGCCGAGCGUUAGGCGGAAUCACUGGGCUUAAAGCGUGUGUAGGCGGGUCGUUAAGUGUCUUGUGAAAUCCCCCGGCUCAACCGGGGAAUGGCUGGCAUACUGGCGAUCUUGAGCAGUCUAGGGGCAGAUGGAACAAGUGGUGGAGCGGUGAAAUGCGUAGAUAUCAUUGGAACGCCAACGGCGAAAGCAGGCAACUGGGGGUGUACCGACGCUGAGACACGAAAGCCAGGGGAGCGAACGGG
rnacentral:rRNA from 1 species